UACGUAGGGUGCAAGCGUUAAUCGGAAUUACUGGGCGUAAAGCGUGCGCAGGCGGUUUUGUAAGUCUGUCGUGAAAUCCCCGGGCUUAACCUGGGAACUGCAUUGGUGACUGGCAGGCUUUGAGUGUGGCAGAGGGAGGUAGAAUUCCACGUGUAGCAGUGAAAUGCGUAGAGAUGUGGAGGAAUACCGAUGGCGAAGGCAGCCUCCUGGGCCAACACUGACGCUCAUGCACGAAAGCGUGGGGAGCAAACAGG
rnacentral:rRNA from 1 species